CACCUACUAGUCCUGCUCAUAACUUAGGUGAUGAAACGGCACACCCACCCGUACAAACUCCCACUUUUAGUAGAAAACCACCUAAACGUACAGAAACAUCAUUAGUUUGGCAAUUUUUUAUUCAACUAAGAGAACAAAUAAGGCUAAGUGCAAAUCUUGUGGGAAAUUACUUGUUCAUAGGUAUACUGGAGAUCGUAGCGGCACGGGUAGUUUAGUUAAGCAUAUAAGAUNNN
rnacentral:lncRNA from 1 species